rnacentral:rRNA from 1 species
UACGUAGGUGGCAAGCGUUGUCCGGAUUUACUGGGCGUAAAGGGCGUGCAGGCGGUUUGUUAAGUGCAGGGUGAAAGCUCCCGGCUCAACUGGGAGAGGUCCUUGCAUACUGGCAAACUCGAGGGAGGCAGAGGAAAGUGGAAUUCCCGGUGUAGUGGUGAUAUGCGUAGAUAUCGGGAGGAACACCUGUGGCGAAGGCGGCUUUCUGGACCAGCACUGACACUGAGGCACGAAAGCGUGGGGAGCAAACAGG